rfam:Schistosoma rodhaini strain Burundi genome assembly, scaffold: SROB_scaffold0005970
UCCUCGAUAGUAUAGUGGUGAGCACCUCCGUCUGUCACGUGGAAGGCGCUGGUUUAAUUACUGGUCGAGGAG